rnacentral:rRNA from 1 species
UUUCGCAAUGCCCGAAAGGGUGACGAAGCGACGCCGCGUGUGGGAAGAAGGCCUUCGGGUUGUAAACCACUGUCGGGAGUUAAGAAAUACAAGGAUAUUAAUAGUGUCUUUGUUUGGCUAAGGCUCCGGAGGAAGCCACGGCUAACUCUGUGCCAGCAGCCGCGGUAAUACAGAGGCGGCAAGCGUUGUUCGGAAUUAUUGGGCGUAAAGAGCACGUAGGCGGCUAUGUAAGUCGGUUGUGAAAGCCUUCCGCUCAACGGAAGAACAGCAUCCGAUACUACAUGGCUUGAGUGCGGGAGGGGAGAGUGGAACUUCUGGUGGAGCGGUGAAAUGCGUAGAUAUCAGAAGGAACGCCGGCGGCGAAAGCGGCUCUCUGGCCCAUAACUGACGCUGAGUGUGCGAAAGCUAGGGGAGCAAACGGGAUUAGAUACCCCGGUAGUCCUAGCCGUAAACGAUGGGCACUAAGUAGAGGGGUUUU